rnacentral:tRNA from 1 species
GGUUGGUUGGCUCAGUGGUUAGAGUCUAGGGCUUGGGAGAGAAUGGUCCCGGGUUUGAAUCUCGCGAGAGAUAG